rfam:Nonlabens marinus S1-08 DNA, nearly complete genome.
UAUCUUUGCAGCCGCUUAGGGAAUGAAUCCCGAAGGCACCGUCAGAAAAUCUGACAUACAUAAUAUUCAUUAUAUAAAUAAUUUUGGCAUG